rnacentral:rRNA from 1 species
AGAGUUGAUCAUGGCUCAGGAUGAACGCUAGCUACAGGCUUAACACAUGCAAGUCGAGGGGCAUCAUGAUCAAAGCUUGCUUGAUUGAUGGCGACCGGCGCACGGGUGAGUAACGCGUAUCCAACCUUCCCCCCAGUAGGGCAUAGCCCGGCGAAAGUCGGAUUAAUACCCUAUGUUUUCCAAUGAGGACAUCUGAGCUGGAACAAAGAUUUAUCGCUGGGGGGAUGGGGAUGCGUCCGAUUAGGUUGUUGGCGGGGUAACGGCCCACCAAGCCCGCGAUCGGUAGGGUUCUGAGAGGAAGGUCCCCCACACUGGUACUGAGACACGGACCAGACUCCUACGGGAGGCAGCAGUGAGGAAUAUUGGUCAAUGGGCGUAAGCCUGAACCAGCCAAGUAGCGUGCAGGACGACGGCCCUAUGGGUUGUAAACUGCUUUUAUGCGGGGAUAAAGUGAGGUAUGUAUACCUUUUUGUAGGUACCGCAUGAAUAAGGACCGGCUAAUUCCGUGCCAGCAGCCGC